rnacentral:misc_RNA from 1 species
UUGAAUUUUAAUGAAGAGUUUGGUUGUAGCUGGCCCAUUCAUUUGGGCAUGUGCACACCUUCCUCUUUCACCCCACACACACCUGUGAACCUGUGAGACAGAGAUGGGGAAUUUACUUGCUGCUUUUUGGAAUACAAAGGCAAUAGGUUAUUGGACCCCCCCUCUGUCUACUCGAUUAAUAUAAACUCAAUUUAUUUUAAAACGAAUGUAAUGGAUGUAACACAUCUCAUAC